CCUUUUUUCGCCCUUUGAUUACAGUUAUCAUUUUGAUUUCGCCUGGAUUUCUGUUCGACUACCAUCCAUGCAAUAAAGGGUUUCUCAGUCUCUACCGAAACAGGAUUUUUGGUUGUCUGGCCAAAAUCAGUAACCUUGUUUCUAGCGGAGUUUUGAUCAGCAACAACAGAAGGGCAAAGGCCUUCUAAGUGCCCAUACCAACCACAGGAA
rnacentral:lncRNA from 1 species